rnacentral:misc_RNA from 1 species
UCUCCGUAGGUGAACCUGCGGAGGGAUCAUUACAGAGUUCAUGCCCUACCGGGUAGAUCUCCCACCCUAUGUUAUUAUCACUUUGUUGCUUUGGCGGGCCGUUAGGCUCCGGCCCGACUACCGGCCCCGGCUGGUAAGCGCCCGCCAGAGGACCCAAAACCCUGAAUAUUAGUGUCGUCUGAGUACUAUAUAAUAGUUAAAACUUUCAACAACGGAUCUCUUGGUUCUG